ensembl:lincRNA
GUACUUGCUAAAUGGGACCUGGUAUGGCUGUUCCUUGGAGGUUUGGACCACAGCUGACCAAUGCAGAUGUGGAUGCUUGGAGCCAACAAUCAGAUCAGGCUCAGGGACCCCUGUGGGGGAGCAGCCUGAAGGACUGGAGGUGCAGAGGGGGAUUGCAAUCCCAUAGGAAGAACAACAUCUGCUGGCCAGACCACCCAGAGCUCCCAGAAACUAGACCACCAACCAAGGAGUGUACAGGAAGGGAUCCAUGUCUCCACAUACGCUACAGAGAGGGGAAGAAUGAAAACCAUCAGAAACUCAGUGGUGCCAAUGGCAAGCCGGAGAACCAGCCCUGCCUGUGGCUCUACUUCAGGACUCUGUGGGAUCUGGAGCUCCACAUGUGCUACUCUAGAACUCCCUCUUCCCUACAGCAAUAAUUAGUCGUGUCAAGAUGACUACUCUGUGACAACGUGAUUUCCAUGAGGAAAAGUGGAAGAAUAAACUAUAAUUAUUUGGACAGUC